rnacentral:lncRNA from 1 species
GGGCAGCCCAUCGCCCACGCUGACCGUGAGGGUCCGACCGCCAACCUUGAGCACUGCCAAGUCGCCGAAGCCGCGGGAGAAGGAGUUGAUGGAGACCUCCAAGAAGCUGGUUCAAGCUCCCUAAACCCAGAGCUGGAGGAAGACCCUGCUGAACAGAUGACGUCACAGUCAGAGGCAGAAGCCCCAGGAUUGGUAGACAGACAGACGUUGGAAUGAGAGAAACAGAGUCCGGACCCCAGAUGGAGUUUCACUCCUGUUGCCUAGGCUGGAGUGCAAUGGCACGAUCUUGGCUCAUCGCAACCUCCGCCUCCCGAGUUCAAGCGAUUCUCCUGCCUCAGCCUCCCGAGAAGCUGGGAUUACAGGUAUGUGCCACCACGCCGGACUAAUUUUGUAUUUUUAGUAGAGAUGGGGUUUCUCCAUGUUGGUCAGGCUGGUCUCGAACUCCCAACCUCAGGACAUCUGCCCACCUCGGCCUCCCAAAGUGCUGGGAUUACAGGCAUGAGCCACCGCACACAGCUUGCUUUUUUUUUUUGAGACCGGGUUUUGCUCUGUUACCCAGGCUGGAACUCAGCGAUGCGAUCCUAGCUCACUGCAACCUUGACCUCCAGGGUUCAAGUGAUCCUCUCAUCUCAGCCUUCCGAGUAGCUGGGACCGUAGGAGCACACCACCAUGCCUGGCUAAUUUUUAUGUUUUUUGUAGAGAUGAGGUCUCACUAUGUUGUCCAGGCUGGCUUUGAACCCCCAGGCUCAAGCGAUCCUCUUAACUUAGCCUCCUAGAUAGCUGGGACUAUAGGUGUGAGUGAUUGUGUCUGGCUCGGUCUGUCUCUCUCUUUUUUUCUUUUCUUUUUUGAGACAGGGUCUCAUUCUGCUGUUGCCCAGGCUGGAGUGCAAUGGCACAAUCUCGACUCACUACAAGCUCUGCCUCCUGGGUUCAAGCAAUUCUCCUGCCUCAGACUCCUGAGUAGCUGGGAUUACAGGUGCCCAGCACCACACCUGGCUAAGUUUUAUAUUUUUAGUAGAGAUGGGGUUUCACCAUGUUGGCCAGGCUGGUCUCAAACUCCUGACCUCAGGUGAUCCACCCACCUCAGCCUCCCAAAGUGCUGGGAUUACAGGCGUGAGCCACUGCACCCAGCCUCUCUCUCUCUCUUUGUUAAAAAAAUCCCUGUCUCAGGACUGGGCAUAUUAACUCAUGCCUGUAGUCCCAGCACUUUGGCAGGCCAAGGCAGGAGGAUUGCUUGAGGCCAGGAGUUCAAGACCAAUCUGGGCAACAAAGUGAAACACCAACUCUACAAAAAAGUUUUAAAAUAUUAGCCAGGCAUGAUGGUGUGUGCCUGCGGUCCCAGCUACUUGAGAGGCUGAAGUGGGAGGAUUGCUUGAGCCCAGGAGGUGUAGACUGCAGUGACCUGUGAUCACACCACUGCACUCCAGCCUGGACAACAGAGCGAGUUCCUGUCUCAAAAAAAAAAAAAAAAAAAAAAAAGCGGGGAAUGGUGGCUCCCAUCUGUAAUCCCAGCACUUUGGGAGGCUGAGGUGGGUGGAUCACGAGGUCAGGAGUUUGAGACCAGUCUGGCCAAUAUGAUGAAACCCUGUCUCUACUAAAAAUACAAAAAUUAGCUGGGCAUGGUGGUGGGUGCCUGUAGUCCCAGCUGCUCGGGAGGCUGAGGCAGGAGAAUCACUUGAACUCUGGAGGCGGAGGUUGCAGUGAGCCGAGAUCAUGCCACUGCACUCCAGCCUGGGUGACAGAACGAGACUUUGUCUCAAAAAAAAAAAAAAAAAUCCCUGACUUACUUCCUCAGUCUCCUCUUGGAGCUUCCUGGGAUUGCCUCCCAGAAAAACCAUUUGUCUCUGAAUCCUUGCCUCAGGCUCUGCUUCUGGGGGAGGGGCAAAAUGAAGACAGCAGGGACUAUUGCCUUAUUGUUCAUGGCUGUGUCUCCAAGCACCCUAAACAGUACCUGGCACACAACAGGUGCUCAAUAAAUAAUUG